UGGGGAAUAUUGGACAAUGGGCGCAAGCCUGAUCCAGCAAUGCCGCGUGUGUGAUGAAGGCCUGCGGGUUGUAAAGCACUUUCGUUGGGGAAGAAAUGCUCAAGGGUAAUAUCCUUGAGAGUUGACGUUACCCAAAGAAGAAGCACCGGCUAACUCUGUGCCAGCAGCCGCGGUAAUACAGAGGGUGCAAGCGUUAAUCGGAGUUACUGGGCGUAAAGGGCGCGUAGGCGGAUAUUUAAGUCGGGUGUGAAAGCCCCGGGCUCAACCUGGGAAUAGCAUUCGAUACUGGAUGUCUUAGAGUAUGGUAGAGGAAAGCGGAAUUCCCGGUGUAGUGGUAAAAUACGUAGAUAUCGGGAAGAACAUCGGGGCGAAGGCGGCUUUCUGGACCAAUACUGACGCUGAUGCGCGAAAGCGUGGGGAGCAAACAGG
rnacentral:rRNA from 1 species